GCAUUUAACGCACAUUCCCUGCUCAAACUGAUUAAAAUGACAGCACAGUGUAAUGUCCACUUGUUACUUGUGUUUUUUGGUGUUUUGUCGCCCUCUGCUGGCGCUUGGGUGCGACUGAUUUUAUGGGUUUCAGCACCAUGAAUGAGCAUUGUGUAAUUAUUGACAUCAACAAUGGCGAGCUACUAAGUUUAUUUUUUGAUUGAAAAUUUUACGAAUUUUAUUAAAACGGAAACAUUAAGAGGGGUUUUGAUACAAAAUUUCUAUAACUUGUACUAAUAUUUAUCUUUUAAGAACUCCGAGUCUCUAUCCAUGGAUCGCUUUAACAAAAUGUUAAUAAUGUUAAAGCCAUCUUGUUGAUUUAUUGUUAUAAUAAACAAAUACAGUACUUAUGUUCGGUAGGUUGAAUGUAUAUAUCCGUCUUGCGUCUUAUCUUUCCAUUCCAACAAUAAUUUACAGAAAAAUAUGGCAUAUUUUAUAGAUGGUUUGAAUUGCGAUUAAUUACGAUUAAUUAAUUUUUAAGCUGUAAUUAACUCGAUUAAAAAUUUUAAUCGUUUGACAGCCCUAAUAUACUGUAUACAGUAUAUGUAUAAUCUAACACAUACAUACAAAACACUCAGGUGACUUAAAGUUCCACUCUGAGACACCCAAUCUGGCCAACUUUCAUAGUUGUCAUUGGAAAGCUUAAAAUCUCAAUUUUUGAAAAUUUUGAACAGGAGGGCAUUUAAAAAAAAAAGUUUUUAAACCGUAAAACCCUGACUGGAGGUGAGAGCACGCAGAGCAUAAUUAAACACGACACAAUUUUAUAUGAGAUAUUAUACUUACGAACUUACCUCUUUUCGCUCCAAAAACUCCAUGUAGCAUGUAUUACUGAGUGUCAAGACACAGCUGUGAAUGGCCACAGCCAGAUUUUGGGGGGAUUUUAUGGGUCAAACAUGGUAAUAUAACAAGUGUUGCGAUGCAGAAAUUGCAGACAUCAAGGAGUGGUCGAGAUUUUUCAUAUAUUUUUCAUAUAUUUACCCUUUUAAAGAUUUUUUUUUUCUUUUCAAUUUUUCUUUGUUUGGAUCGAUUAUUCAUCAUGUAACAUAUCAGGGGAAAUCCGUCAAUAACAAAAAAAAAUACAAUUAAGCGAUAGUUACGAAGUAGAUAUCUGUGACUUAUUUACAGACAUUUUUUUCAUUGUGACAAUUUGUUUAAAAGUUUUAAAUAUGCGAGUAAAUAUUUAAGUAGUUUUUUUUUUCAAACAAAAUAUAAGGCAUCAAUUAAUGAUUUUUUGCUAAAAAUGACAGAUAUUUUGAAUAACAAAUAUAGUUAAUUUUAAUGGCUAGGUUGAAACAAAACCGGGGGUUUCCAGGGUAAAACGGAUAAACUAAAAUAGUUUGGGGGCUCAAUGUGCCAUGAAUCUGCUAUGGCAGCAUAUAGACAUAUUGUUCUAUCAAACACAACAGUUCUUUUGGCUUAAAAUACAGUAGUUUAUUUUAAAGAGGGGUGCAAGAGCAGAAACGGCUUUUUCAGCCUUGUCUGUGUUUUUCGCCAUAUACGCAUUGAAAAAAUUGAAUAUAACCAGGGGUGCACAUAUUUUUUUUGCCCAGGUUCUCAGAGGAGGACCUGGAGAUGUGACUUGGUCCUCAUUGAGCUUGAGAGCCAACCCGCCUGAUGCGAUAAAAUUAUGACAAGCUUUAGUUGGAGCCAAAUACCUUUUAUUAAUUAUAUUAACAAUUAAUGCCUGAUUAACAUCAACUGGCACAACAAAAUUGCCAUUACUUUGAAGUGAAAUGUAAAGAAAUAAACAUAAAAGCAGUACUAAUUCAAAAUAAAGGGCAUUAUACGGCUCCCACAUUAACUCCAAGCCUUUGUAAAAGUGGGAUGUCCUCCUCCUCAUAAGAGCUCAUUGAACGUGCAUGUUUAGCCUUGUGAAAUGCGAGCAAAAACACGUUUGUCAGUGCAUGGCGCUGCUCUUCAUUAACUUUAUUCCGCCACUUGUCCAUAGGGCGAGUGGGGUGCUGCCUGACAUCGAUAGUUUGCUUAAUUGCCACAUGCUCUGUUUUUUUCGUGCAUUUCAAAGUUUGGAUGGCUGAAAUUCUUAGACCCAACAUAAAAUGCGCUGCCGUUAUCAGCGAUUCUCACGGCAAAUUUUGUACCACAUAUCCGUGCGAGCAUCAUUUGCUUCUAGCUAUGGUACCUCCUGCAGCCACUUUUCAGCAAAAGUCCUUUUUUCGGUAGCUCCGGUGACGUCUCUGUCGUCUGUCUGUCCUUUGACGGGGGUGGGGGAACACGGAAAUAAUUACUCAGUGGGGCCUGCCUCCGACAUAUUGAGAAGUGAUUAUCUCGUGUCCGCCGCAAAUACAGUGGUCAGCCAUCUGUACACUGUAAAUGCUAACAUUCAAAUUAAUUAAAUUUGAUAAGUGAACUAAACUCAGUUUUCAUCAACCUGUUGUGAACACUACUUUUAAAUAAGUAAGUAGUAAUUUGGGGUUGGAGAACUUGCUUAACUUGAUAUAUCCCAGUUAAGUCAAAUUAGAAAAAAUAAUUUAUCGUACCCAGUGUCCUUUGCGCGUUCUAUCAGACAUGCGCAGAUCUGCCCUGCCUACUUUCGCGCUCUUUCCAACACCUUUCUCAUUUAUUUUCGCCAUUGUGGGUUUAUUUGUCCUCAGCACACUGAUUUGGCUGAAGCAAAUGGUCAGAAGUCCACACAUACCUCAGUCUCUGCAAUUACAGGUCAACCAGAGCAGUAUUCUCUAAUGCAGUGGACUUGUAAGUACUGCACAUUUUCUGCUGGAAAGAGAGGCUACUUGCUUAAGCAUUACCGCUUAAAACAUGGAUACCACACUCGGACAUCACUACUCCCCAUGUCUUCAUAAGGACUGCCUCUGCACAUUUAAAUCUUUUAAUGCACUCAAAGUACACCUAUCGACAUGCCACUCUCAAAAAGAUGCAGACAAAAGUGGAGAAACUGCAUUUGACUGUCAGUUGUGCAACUUUGUGGAGCCUUGUUAAGAAGCAGACUUCUUUACCCAUUUGCGAAGACAUCUUAAGCUGAGGCAAAUGGUUACUUGCAUAUAUCAAGACUGUAACUUUCAGAGCACUGUUUAUUCUACCUUCACUGCACACAAAAGCAGAAAUGUGAAAUGAGUUUGAACCAUAGUAUGGGUAGGACAUUUGUGUCUAAAUCAUUCAAUCCCAAUAAAAGUUGCUUCAAUCAAAAAAAAUAUUUUUAAUGAAAGAAAAAGAACCUCUUGCUAAAAUGUUUUUUUGAAAAUAUAUAUUUUUUGAAAUAUAUAUAUUUUUUUAUUGACGUGUCACUUUUUUUGCAAAGCAUGAAGUUUUAAACUUUUUUUUUUUUUUAAAGUGGAAAAAG